UUGGCGAUCAUGGUCCAAUUACGUAUCUUCAAUAAGCCAAGCAAAUCUUGUCUGCAUCAAAAAUUACGUCAUCAAGUUCGGGUUACCUGUGUUAGAAGGCCUGCUGCGACAGUUUGAACUUUGGCAGCGGCCGCCAAAUGCAAAUAACUUUAGGAGUAUUGAUGCUGUUAUGCCCAUAAAUUUCACAUAUUUAGGCCGAGAAUUGGACAAGAAACAUUUUAGAUUUUAAGAUAAGAGUAUGUGUGUUUAAUUAAAAAAAUUCAUUUCGUUUACUUAGCGAAAUGUAUCUUUGAAUGUUCGCGUGAAGAUAACGGAAAUUUGCCUUCAGAAGUCCAACUCAUCUUAUAAAUACGCAUAAACCGUGAAUAAUCUCGCCGAGCCACUCCAGAAUCUAGUAGAGAUAAGUCCAUAUUUCACAAGAACAUUGUACCAUAAACGUUUAAACGAUGAAAACUGCAUAAUAUAAUUCGUUUCCUCAAUAUAUUCUAAUCUCGUUGUGUUUUAUUUAGCUAUGAUCAUAACAAAUGAAGACGCAUCAAGUCUGAGCUAAUUUUCAAAACAUCGUUUUAUAGUACAGCUCCUAAAUGAAUUGAUUACAAAAACUUGCACGAUAUACAUUACAGGUUCACGUACUUAUCCAUGUGAAGCCUCACCCAGGACUCCCAAGAUGAAACAAAAUGAAAUCGUAUGUACAAUAUAAGCCAAAAUAUCCAAUUUAGCAUCCAAGAUGCUGUCUUGGAUAUUGGCGAUCAUCACAUACCCUAGGGUUUUAAGCUAUCCUAAGUUGUUAUAAAGAUUAAGAAACUAUCACAAUUAAUUCAAGCAGGGGCAGAGCGUCAUGUUACAGAGAAAUUCGGAAACUCCUGUGAGAUGCAAGUUGAGAUCCGAAAUUCGGAAACUCCUGUGAGAUGCAAGCUUGGCUCCGAAAUUCGGAAUCCCCUGUGAGAUGCAAGCUUGGCUCCGAAAUUCGGAAUCGCCUGUGAGAUGCAAGCUUGGUUCCGAAACUCGGAAUCGCCUGUGAGAUGCAACUGGGGGUCCGAAAUUCGGAAUCGCCUGUGAGAUGCAAGCUGGGGUCUGAAAUUCUGGAUCUCCUCUGAUCAAAAGCUGGGGUCCGAGACGUUGCUUUAUUUUAAACCGAGCUUUUUAGGGAGUACGUGGGGAAUUAAGGUUUUAGGUGGUCAAAAUUAUGAUGUCCGCAACGUUCACAGAUAUUCAUCCAUAAAAUUUUCAAUGAAACUAUAAGUCCGUGUAAAUCACUGUUUUGAAAUAAAAAAAUUCAGUAGAAACUGGUGUUGUUUAAACGGAAAAAUACCCUUUUAGACUGAUUCAUCUUGAAUCAAGCGGAAAAUUUGCUAAAUUUCCGAGUAAAAUGGCUUAUACUGGACGGAAUUUUGUAUUUUUAAAAAAACCCAUUUCAGUUUGGAACGUGUUAAGGGCCUCCUUAAAAUCUUCGGGCUCCCAUGUAUAGACAAAAUUUUCGGGUCUUUUCUUGGCGGCCUCUUAUUAAAGGAAGGCAUACAGUAAUUCGAAAUCUGGCAGCUCCAACCUUUUGCCAAGUUUAUCGACAACAAUGGCGUAAUCCAAAACUGGUUCCGAAGAGUUUUGCUUACGAUUUUCCAAAACUUGGGUAAUUCGGAGUCGGAUGUUAUAGGGAUCGUAUUGGGUUUUAAGUUUUUCGACAAUUUCGUUAAAAGGUAACCUGUUAGGGUCAUCCAAGGGAUUAAACUAUUAGCGUGCAGCAUCUUUAGGGCAUAAGACUAGCGCAAAACUUGAAGACACUGUGUGGUUGUUGUCCUGCGGUUGCGACUGUGAACAAACAGGAAAGACAGAAAGAAAAAAAAGAUGAAUGGAAGAUAUAGAGCCCCCUAACACUGGUAGAUAACCAAAAACCUUAACACUGGUAGGUAACCAAAAACCUUAACACUGGUAGAUAACCAAAAACCUUAACACUGGUAGAUAACCAAAAACCUUAACACUGGAAGAGAACUAAAGUC